AAUAACAGGAGCGCAAAGUGUAUGCAAUUACAGUGUUCCAAGCUGAGGUUUGAGUUCCAAGCUGAGGUUUCUCGGCUUAUGGACAUUAUCAUCAACUCUCUCUACAGUAACAAGGACAUUUUCUUGAGAGAGUUGAUCUCCAAUGCUUCUGAUAUUUUCAAGCUUUGGAUAAGAUUAGGUUACUUGCACUCACUGAUAAAGACGUUUUGGGUGAGGGUGACACUGCUAAGCUUGAGAUCCAGAUUAGGCUAGACAAAGCCAAGAAAAUACUUUCUAUUCGGGACAGGGGAAUUGGGAUGACUAAGGAAGAUCUAAUUAAAGAAUCUUAGGGAUGAAGCUGGCGAGUACCUAGAGGAGAGUAAACUCAAGGAUCUGGUGAAGAGAUAUUCUGAAUUCAUUAACUUCCCUAUCCACCUCUGGGCUAGCAAAGAGGUUGAAACUGAGGUCCCAGUUGAGGAAGAUGAAUCAGCUGAAGAGGAGGAAACUGGUGAGUUAUAUUGAAACACUGUGAUUAUAACUUCGUUUAAAAAACCUGAUAGAACCGUAUUUUAUAAACUACGGAUUACUGAAUAUUGUAAAGAAUAAAAAUGAUAAAAUUAUAUCAAAGAGUAAGAAAAAAGAUGAUACAACUGCAGAGGCAAGAUAUUAUCUCUUUCCUUAACUCAAAAUACGUCCCGUAGUGCGACGGUUCGAUGACGUAAUGAGUCCCAGGAUACAACUGCAAACAAUCUUCUGAAUUUGCGUCACUCUAUCAGAAGCCUGGCGAAACUAGUUUUGUGUUAUACUCUCAGACACAAGAAAUAAAAAAAUAAGAGACAUCACUACUCAACAUGGGAGAAUUAUUUUUACUAUACUUUGUUUGUAUGUAAAUCUCUAUCAAAUGAGUUAACACAAGUGCUCCUUUUAUACAGAAAAAUGAAGGCACGUUAUGUCAUUAUGGAGUCAACCAAACGUACUAAUUAAGUGUCAUAAUGAAAUUUG